CUCUCUAGCUGCAUUUAAGUGUGCCAAUCUAUUGAGAAUGUUCAACAAAGGCUUCUUCUCCUUAAGUAUUAUAUUUUUAUUGCAUUUGUUAUGCUUAUUUAAGGGGUUGUUGUGCUAAAAUUUUUGUACACUAUUUUUUUGCUAUUGUAUUUUGGGUUUUGAGUUUUGAGAGGUUCCAAAACUCAAAUAGGUUGAUCCGAACUUGAAAUCG
rnacentral:lncRNA from 1 species